GCGGCGGACGGGUGAGUAACACGUGGGCAACCUGCCUAUAAGACUGGGAUAACUUCGGGAAACCGGAGCUAAUACCGGAUACGUUCUUUUCUCGCAUGAGAGAAGAUGGAAAGACGGUUUACGCUGUCACUUAUAGAUGGGCCCGCGGCGCAUUAGCUAGUUGGUGAGGUAAUGGCUCACCAAGGCGACGAUGCGUAGCCGACCUGAGAGGGUGAUCGGCCACACUGGGACUGAGACACGGCCCAGACUCCUACGGGAGGCAGCAGUAGGGAAUCUUCCGCAAUGGACGAAAGUCUGACGGAGCAACGCCGCGUGAACGAAGAAGGCCUUCGGGUCGUAAAGUUCUGUUGUUAGGGAAGAACAAGUACCAGAGUAACUGCUGGUACCUUGACGGUACCUAACCAGAAAGCCACGGCUAACUACGUGCCAGCAGCCGCGGUAAUACGUAGGUGGCAAGCGUUGUCCGGAAUUAUUGGGCGUAAAGCGCGCGCAGGUGGUUCCUUAAGUCUGAUGUGAAAGCCCACGGCUCAACCGUGGAGGGUCAUUGGAAACUGGGGAACUUGAGUGCAGAAGAGGAAAGUGGAAUUCCAAGUGUAGCGGUGAAAUGCGUAGAGAUUUGGAGGAACACCAGUGGGCGAAGGCGACUUUCUGGUCUGUAACUGACACUGAGGCGCGAAAGCGUGGGGGAGCAAA
rnacentral:rRNA from 1 species